CUUCCGAGUUCCCUGGAACGGGACGCCAGAGAGGGUGAGAGCCCCGUACGGUUGGAUACCAAACCUUUGUAUAGCUCCUUCAACGAGUCGAGUAGUUUGGGAAUGCUGCUCUAAAUGGGAGGUAUAUCUCUUCUAAAGCUAAAUAUAGGCUAGAGACCGAUAGCGCACAAGUAGAGUGAUCGAAAGAUGAAAAGCACUUUGAAAAGAGAGUUAAACAGCACGUGAAAUUGUUGAAAGGGAAGCGCCUAUGACCAGACUUGUUUCUUUCAGUUUUGUUAGUUCUCGGACUGAUUUACUCUGUUAGUACAGGCCAGCAUCAGUUUGUUGUCGGGGAGAAAGGCUUAGGGAAUGUGGCUCCUUCGGGAGUGUUAUAGCCCUUUGCAUAAUACCCUUCGGCAGACUGAGGACCGCGCUUCGGCAAGGAUGCUGGCGUAAUGGUCAUCAGCGACCCGUCUUGAAACACGGACCAAGGAGUCAACCUUAUGUGCGAGUGUUUGGGUGUAAAACCCCAGCGCGUAAUGAACGUGAACGUAGGUGAGAGCUUCGGCGCAUCAUCGACCGAUUCUGAUGUUCUCGGAUGGAUUUGAGUAAGAGCACACAGGGUUGGACCCGAAAGAAGGUGAACUAUGCUUGUAUAGGGUGAAGCCAGAGGAAACUCUGGUGGAGGCUCGCAGCGGUUCUGACGUGCAAAUCGAUCGUCAAAUAUGAGCAUGGGGGCGAAAGACUAAUCGAACCUUCUAGUAGCU
rnacentral:rRNA from 1 species